rnacentral:rRNA from 1 species
AACGAACGCUGGCGGCAGGCCUAACACAUGCAAGUCGAGCGAGGACUUCGGUCCUAGCGGCGGACGGGUGAGUAACGCGUGGGAACGUGCCCUUUGCUUCGGAAUAGCCCUGGGAAACUGGGAGUAAUACCGGAUGAGCCCUUUGGGGGAAAGAUUUAUCGGCGAAGGAUCGGCCCGCGUUGGAUUAGGUAGUUGGUGGGGUAAUGGCCUACCAAGCCGACGAUCCAUAGCUGGUAUGAGAGGAUGAUCAGCCACACUGGGACUGAGACGCGGCCCAGACUCCUGCGGGAGGCAGCAGUGGGGAAUGUUAGACAAUGGGGGAUACCCUGAUCUAGCCAUGCCGCGUGAGCGAUUAAGGCCUUAGGGUUGUAAAGCUCUUUCAGCUGGGAAGAUAAUGACGGUACCAGCAGAAGAAGCCCCGGCUAACUCCGUG